CAGAGACUGCAAGCGUUAUUCGGAUUCACUGGGCGUAAAGGGUGCGCAGGCGGCCAAGUGUGUCAGGUGUGAAAUCCCGAGGCUUAACCUCGGAACUGCGCCUGAAACUACUUGGCUAGAGUACUGGAGAGGGUAACGGAAUUCACGGUGUAGCAGUGAAAUGCGUAGAUAUCGUGAGGAACACCAGAGGCGAAGGCGGUUACCUGGACAGUUACUGACGCUCAGGCACGAAAGCGUGGGGAGCAAAAGGGAUUAGAUACCCCUGUAGUCCACGCCCUAAACGGUGCACACUAGGUCUUGGCGGAUUCGAUCCCACCAGGGCCCAAGCUAACGCGUUAAGUGUGCCGCCUGAGGACUACGGUCGCAAGACUA
rnacentral:rRNA from 1 species